UAGUCCACGCCCUAAACGAUGUUCACUCGAUGUUUGGCCCUUGCGGUUGAGCAUCCAAGUGAAAGCGAUAAGUGAACCACCUGGGGAGUACGUUCGCAAGAAUGAAACUCAAAGGAAUUGACGGGGGCCCGCACAAGCGGAGGAGCAUGUGGUUUAAUUCGAUGAUACGCGAGGAACCUUACCUGGGCUCAAAUGUAUUUUGACAACUCCCGAAAGGGAGCUUUUACUUCGGAACAAUUUACAAGGUGCUGCAUGGUUGUCGUCAGCUCGUGCCGUGAGGUGUCGGGUUAAGUCCCAUAACGAGCGCGAACCCCUAUUCUUAGUUGCCAUCCAGAUAAUGCUGGGGACUCUAAGAAAACUGCCUACGCAAGUAAGUGAGGAAGGUGGGGAUGACGUCAAAUCAGCACGGCCCUUACGUCCAGGGCUACACACGUGCUACAAUGGCCGAUACAGAGGGCAGCUACCUGGUGACAGGAUGCAAAUCUCGAAAAUCGGUCUCAGUUCGGAUCG
rnacentral:rRNA from 1 species